rnacentral:rRNA from 1 species
UACGGAGGGUGCAAGCGUUAAUCGGAAUUACUGGGCGUAAAGCGUGCGUAGGCGGUUCGUUAAGUCUGUUGUGAAAGCCCCGGGCUCAACCUGGGAAUGGCAAUGGAUACUGGCGAGCUAGAGUGUGUCAGAGGAUGGUGGAAUUCCCGGUGUAGCGGUGAAAUGCGUAGAGAUCGGGAGGAACAUCAGUGGCGAAGGCGGCUCACUGGACCGGUACUGACGUUGAGGCUCGAAAGCGUGGGGAGCAAACAAGG